AUGAACGCUGGCGGCGUGCCUAAUACAUGCCAGUCGAGCGAACAGAUGAGGAGCUUGCUCCUCUGACGUUAGCGGCGGACGGGUGAGUAACACGUGGAUAACCUACCUAUAAGACUGGGAUAACUUCGGGAAACCGGUGCUAAUACCGGAUAAUAUAUUGAACCGCAUGGUUCAAUAGUGAAAGACGGUUUUGCUGUCACUUAUAGAUGGAUCCGCGCCGCAUUAGCUAGUUGGUAAGGUAACGGCUUACCAAGGCAACGAUGCGUAGCCGACCUGAGAGGGUGAUCGGCCACACUGGAACUGAGACACGGUCCAGACUCCUACGGGAGGCAGCAGUAGGGAAUCUUCCGCAAUGGGCGAAAGCCUGACGGAGCAACGCCGCGUGAGUGAUGAAGGUCUUCGGAUCGUAAAACUCUGUUAUUAGGGAAGAACAAAUGUGUAAGUAACUAUGCACGUCUUGACGGUACCUAAUCAGAAAGCCACGGCUAACUACGUG
rnacentral:rRNA from 1 species